rnacentral:lncRNA from 1 species
AUGGCGGCGUCCACCGGCGCUAGGGUGCCGGCGCGGAGCGGCUUCCGGGGACGCAUGGGCCGCGGGAAGCGCGGAGGCGGGCGCGGGCCGCGCAGCGGGCCGGGGGGUGGUGGGGAGGGGCCCCUGAGGCGGCUGAAGCUAGCCGUGGAGGAGUUCGUGCAGGGGACCACGGAGGGCGGGACCCCCGGCGGCCGCGAGGGGCCCCGCGGUGCGGGCCGCGCGCGCCCCUGCGGGAGGAAAAGCCGCCGGGAGCUGAGGAGGGAGAAGCGGCAUCUGAGAAAGGCGCGCCGGCUCCAGAGGGCGGCAGGCCCCGCGCAGGACCCCCGCCCGGGCGGGGAAGCCAGCGACCCCCGGGCGGGGGCAGCGCGGGAGGAGGCGGACCGGCUGUCCGCGGGGCCGCGGCGCCCCCCGGCUCCGCCCAAGGCCGCCCCGGCCCGGACCCAGGCCCCCGCCGCCGCCGCCGCCGCCGCCCGGAAGCGGGCGCUCCUGGCGGCCAACGAGGAGGAGGACCGCGAGAUCCGGAAGCUGGAGCGGCGCCUCGGCUUGAACAAGCGCAGGAAGAAGGGCGACGGCAGCAGCUCCGUGCCGCUCAGCUUUGCCCGCGACGGGCUCGACUAUGUCCUGGGGGCCCUGGGCUCUGGGGAAAGUAGUGGCUUGUGUGACAGCGGCAGCGAGGCGGAGGAGGGCGCGGGCCCCACACCCCCCGGAAGUGAGCUGGACACUGACGCUGAGGACGGAUGGGAGGAGCAGGACCUGGAGCGGGGCAGCGGGCAGGCGGCAGAGGAUGCGUGCAGUGAGGAGGAGGAGGAGGACCAGGACGACGCCGAAGAGGAGGCGCGCGGAGCCCAGGGCACAGCCACGGAGGAAGGAGGCAGAAAGAGGGUCCGUUUUGCAGAAGAUGGAGAGAGGAGUGAAAACCCCUCGGAGGCUGUGCGUACAGACGAUCAGAAUCUUGGUGAAAAUGGUGGAAAGUACGUCCCACCUCACGUGAGGCGAGUGGAGGAGACAGAGGACGCCCAGAAAAAGGAAGAGCUGGAAAGGCUCAAGAAACAGGUCAAAGGUCUGGUCAACAGGCUGAGCGAGCCGAACCUGGCCUCCAUCAGCAGCCAGCUGGAGGAGCUGUACAUGGGCCACAGCCGGAAGGACAUGAACGCCACGCUGACCGCCGUCGUGCUGAGCGCCUGUGCCCCGGACACGGCCAUGCCUGCCCGGCUGCUCAUGGAGCACGUCCUCCUGGUCAGCGUCCUGCACCGCACGGUCGGCCUCGAGGUGGGCGCCCACUUUCUGGAGGCAGUGGUGAGGAGGUUUGACACCGUAUAUAAGAGCGGGCAAGACGGGAAGGAGUGCGACAACCUGUUCACCAUCAUCGCCCAUCUGUACAAUUUCCACGUGGUGCAGUCUCUCCUCAUCUUUGACGUUUUGAGGAAACUUGUCGAAAGUUUCACGGAAAAAGAUAUUGAGCUGAUCCUGUUAAUGCUGAAGACCGUGGGCUUUUCACUAAGGAAGGACGACGCUCUGUCCCUGAAGGAGCUGAUCACAGAGACUCAGGCCAAAGCCAGCAGAGCAGGAGGCAGGUUCCGGGACCAGACCAGGGUCCGCUUCAUGCUGGAGACGCUGCUGGCCCUGAAGAACAACGACGUGCGGAAGAUUCCAGGCUACGACCCUGAGCCUGUGGAGAGGCUGCGGAAGCUGCAGAGAGGCCUGGUGCGUGGUGCCGGCGCGGGAACAGACCCCGAGCUCCGAGUGUCCUGGGACAGCGUCCUGAACGCCGAGCGCGCCGGGCGCUGGUGGAUCGUGGGGUCCGCCUGGAGCGGCGCCCCGAUGGUGGACGGCGGUCUGCAGAAGGCCCCGCAGAAGCCGCUCGCAGGGACGGUUAGCUCAAAAAUUCUGGAGCUUGCCCGCAAGCAGAGAAUGAACACCGACGUCAGGAGAAACAUAUUCUGCACAGUAAUGACAAGCGAAGACUUUCUGGAUGCGUUCGAGAAGCUCCUGAAGCUGGGGCUUAAGGAUCAGCAGGAGAGAGAGAUCGUUCAUGUCCUGGUGGACUGCUGUCUGCAGGAGAAGACCUACAACCCUUUCUACGCUUUCCUGGCCGGCAAGUUCUGUGCCUACGAGCGGAGGUUCCAGAUGACAUUCCAGUUCAGCAUAUGGGACAAAUUUCGGGACCUAGAAAAUUUGCCAGCCACUAAUUUUGCUAAUUUGGUUCAUCUGGUGGCCCACUUGUUGAAGACGAAGUCACUGCCACUUUCCCUGUUAAAGGUUGUGGAAUUCAGUGAACUGGACAAACCCAGAGUCCACUUCUUACGAAAAGUGUUACAUAUACUGCUGAUGGAAACAGAAAUUGAAGACCUUGGUGUGAUUUUUGCAAGGGUGUCGGACAAGCCAGCGCUGGGCCUGCUGCGUGAGGGCCUGAAGCUCUUCAUCAGCCACUUCCUGCUGAGGGGCGCCCCAGAGGCCGGCGCCCUGCGGGAGCGGGCGGAGCUGUGCACCCAGGCCCUGCAGGGGCGGGGGUCCCUCAGGAUGUAGUGGGUGGGGGG